rnacentral:rRNA from 1 species
AGCCUGAUGCAGCGACGCCGCGUGAGGGAUGACGGCCUUCGGGUUGUAAACCUCUUUCAAUAGGGACGAAGCGCAAGUGACGGUACCUAUAGAAGAAGCACCGGCCAACUACGUGCCAGCAGCCGCGGUAAUACGUAGGGUGCGAGCGUUGUCCGGAAUUACUGGGCGUAAAGAGCUCGUAGGUGGUUUGUCGCGUUGUUCGUGAAAACUCACAGCUCAACUGUGGGCGUGCGGGCGAUACGGGCAGACUGGAGUACUGCAGGGGAGACUGGAAUUCCUGGUGUAGCGGUGGAAUGCGCAGAUAUCAGGAGGAACACCGGUGGCGAAGGCGGGUCUCUGGGCAGUAACUGACGCUGAGGAGCGAAAGCGUGGGGAGCGAACAGGAUUAGAUACCCUGGUAGUCCACGCCGUAAACGGUGGGUACUAGGUGUGGGUUUCCUUCCUUGGGAUCCGUGCCGUAGCUAACGCAUUAAGUACCCCGCCUGGGGAGUACGGCCGCAAGGCUAAAACUCAAAGAAAUUGACGGGGGCCCGCACAAGCGGCGGAGCAUGUGGAUUAAUUCGAUGCAACGCGAAGAACCUUACCUGGGUUUGACAUGCACAGGACGCCGGCAGAGAUGUCGGUUCCCUUGUGGC